rnacentral:rRNA from 1 species
GACAGAGGGGGCAAGCGUUGCUCGGAAUUACUGGGCGUAAAGGGCGCGUAGGCGGAAUGGCAAGUCGGUCGUGAAAUCCCUCGGCUUAACCGGGGAACUGCGUCUGAUACUGGAUGGCUUGAGUUUGGGAGAGGGACGCGGAAUUCCAGGUGUAGCGGUGAAAUGCGUAGAUAUCUGGAGGAACACCGGUGGCGAAGGCGGCGUCCUGGACCAACACUGACACUGAUGAGCGAAAGCCAGGGGAGCAAACGGG